rnacentral:rRNA from 1 species
UACGUAGGUGGCAAGCGUUGUCCGGAGUUACUGGGUGUAAAGGGCGUGUAGGCGGGAAGAUAAGUCAGAUGUGAAAUUCCAUGGCUCAACUGUGGCGCUGCAUCUGAAACUAUUUUUCUUGAGUGAUGGAGAGGAAAGCGGAAUUCCUAGUGUAGCGGUGAAAUGCGUAGAUAUUAGGAGGAACACCAGUGGCGAAGGCGGCUUUCUGGACAUUAACUGACGCUGAGGAGCGAAAGCGUGGGGAGCAAACAGG